GGGAUUCGAUGACGUCACUGGGCGCGCGUCCCCCUUCCCCACUGCCCAUGGCCCCGUCGGGGUUGGGUGGAAGCGGGAGGCCGCGGCGGGGUUCGAUCCCAGCUCCCACCCGCUGGGGUGACAUCCUCCGCCCAAGCCGGCCAGACAGCGCGGCCGCCUCGCCCUCUCCCGCCUCCCGGUCCCCUCCAGCCGGAAAAGGUCACCGCUGCCGGGGUGACCGCGGCUAUCUCUGCCCCGCAGGCGGUGCGGCCGCCUUGGGAAAGGUCUCUGCAAGGCGGGGGACUUCAUUAGCGGCUUCAACCGCGGUGGAUAAGCAAAGUUUCCUCAAGGGACUGUCCGGGUGCUGCAGGACGAGAAGAGACAGAAACAGGGCCCGGACUAGGGUGAACAUCUUGGGAGCAAAAAUUCAGUCAUCAAGAUAAAUAAUCUUCUAAUUCAAUAUUUGUUAAAUAUCCAAAUUAAUGGGAAAAAAUAAAUCUAUGAUGAACAAAA